GUAAACAUUCAUGGAGGCUUCUUGUGUACUAGGCAUGGCCAGGAGCUUGAAAUGCAGACAUUAGGCAUGAUCACUGCUAAGUCAUCAUCUGGCCUGCAGGGACAUUCAUCAAUGGGACUGAGUUCAACUGUCCAUCUGUAUUAUUGAACUAGUUAACCAGUCUCUGGAAACAGUGGGUGUCAGUGGGAAACUGGAUCAUUGUUCAGCACACAUCCACUCCUGUGGGAGGAAUAUAUUCUCUGCCCUACUGAUGUUGCGCUUAAUAUGAGAUUUGCUUUAGCCAAUGAAAUGUGAAUGGACAAGAGCAGAUAUAGCUGAGCCUGAGUGAGUCGCUUCACAGAUAAGGCUACGCCUGCCUUUUGGAAGCCAGCCAUGAUAGGAGAGGAGGCCACAACAAGACAGAACACAGAGACUCAGCCAGGAAAUCCCAUCCUAUUUGAGAAGGAGCUCAACUUUGGAUCUUACAAGAAAGGGGUGAGCAUUAGGAAGCAGAAGCUGGGGAACUGUGAUGUAGCAAGCUACAAUCCCUGCAGCAAAGGACAGACUAUCUUCCUCCUGUAAACACCAUUCAACAUCUGGAAUGUCUGGACCCUUUCUUUCCUCCAUGCCCUGCCUGGUGAGAAACUCCUCUGCCUGGAAUGGCUUUUCUCCCCCUACCCUUUAGGGCCCAGUUAAAAUGUCACCUCCUUGGAAGCCUCCUGAAUCACUGCCUCACUCCCCAAGUAGGCAGAGUGAGGCACAGCCCUCUUUGUUCCGACCUUUAUCAGAGCAGUUCUCACAUGGUAGAUUAAUAAUUUACACGUUUGUUGCAUGCUCCACACCAUGAGCUACUGUAAGGCCAAGAAUUCCAGCUAUUAUUCAUGCAUAUAUCUCCAGGCCCAGCAUCAGCCCUGGCACAGACU